rnacentral:misc_RNA from 1 species
UUCAUUGUGAUUUUUGUUAGAUUUUGGAUUUUAUGUUUUAUUACCCUUGUUACUCAUUAGAUUUUGGAGCAAAAUAAAAGGGCUUUGAUGGGAUUACGACUUCCUUCUUAAAAUUGUGUGGAGAUAUUGUUGGAUCACUUAUUCUUUAAGUGGCUUAUCUGAUUAAACCAUUUCUUUCUUCUGUAUUUAGAGUUAUUUUCUGGCUUUUGCAUUUUUGUGCAGUUUAUGCUCUGCCCAUAAAUAUAAAUAAACACAAUUUUCCUAUAAACUAAUUGUGGUUCCAUAAUUUUUUAGUCAAACAUCAGAGGAGGUGAAUUUUAGAUGUCGACUGAAUGCUUUCCCUGUUUGCUGUUUAUCUGGUAGCUUGACCAAAAAUGCUUGCCUUUUCUUUGGAUUAAUCUGUAUCUUCUCUUUUUCUCUCUCCGUCUCAUAUUAGAUUCUAUUGCAACACUCUUUAUGUACAGUAGGUCAAGAUCCUGCUUGUUUUGUUGAGCUCUGAUUUGACGACUAUGCUCCUAAAGGGCUGUGCCCAAACUUGAAUAGGCCCUUGUGUGAAUAUACCCAGUUAUUUGACCAUAUCAGUAUUUAUAAACUUGAGAAGAGUAACUUCAUUUUGCCAUAUUCUUUGGGCCCCCUUUAGACCAUGAUUAUUCUUGCUUGGUUGAUGAAGCUUGGUGAAUCAGUCCAAGAUUGAGUUUGUUUGGUAUUUGGUUUAUGCAGCAUGGAUGUCUGAUUAUGAUCAGGUUUUGAAAAUUCUUUAAACCAAUCUUAACAAGUAUCCUGAUAUCUCAGAACGUUAGAUACAUGAUUAGCCUGUUUGUUUGAGCUUAUUGUCUUUUUGGUAUUGGUUUGUGGGCAUGAAUGUUUGAUAUCUGCUUGAGCUAUAGAAGCUUAACACAUUCUUAACGUAACAGGCUAAGAUCAAAAUGUGGAUACAUAAUUAGGCCUGGCUCAUUUACACUGUCAUUCUAUUUAGAUGCAACUCUUACCGGUCUGACAUUUCCCAAGUGGCAAAAACUUUGUAAUAUCCUUUGCUAUUGGCCACAUUUGGCACUCAAAAAACUGUUGUUUGUUAAGCGUGAACCCAAUUUACAUGACGUCCAUGUACAUCAUUUGGGGCCAUUUGCAAAAUUUUAAAAGGUAUUGACAUCAUAUGAAAAAAUCGCAGCAGUAUGCUGAGUACAAGCAGGCUAAAAAGUGCACAAUUACUAAAAGCUUUACCCAUUUUAACUUUCCUUUGUUGAUUAUUCUGCCAUCUGAAUACAUAUCCCAACCCUCACUGUUAGAAAAAGACGCCAAAUGUUUGUUGUUCUCUGCAUUGAUGGCGUAUUCAGACAUCUACACUUCAUAGAACUGGCAAUCCUUUUUUUCUUUUUGCCUUUCUCUGUUGAUUACAUUGAAAGCAUUCUUCAAUUUUGUAUGAUCAAUUGUAUCUUUUAAAUCAAUAACUUGUAUCUUGUUUAGCCUUCCAUGGUUUCACAACCAUCUCAGUUUGAUUCUUA